AUGGAAGAAGAUGCUGUGUUCUGGGAGCUAAAGGACAUCAACUUCAGACUUCUUGAUUACAAGCAUGAAAUCAUAUUGAUCAAUAUUGUGUUAAACAGCAGGGGGAGCAAGAUAAAGUCACAGACCCAAGUCCUCAUAUCCCUGCUGCUUUGGGUGUCUGGUGCCUGUGCAGACAUCGUGAUGACUCAGUCUCCAUCCUCCCUGGCUGUGUCAGCAGGAGAGAAGGUCUCCAUCAGCUGCAAGUCCAGUCAGAGCCUUUAUUACAGUAGCAACCUAAAGAACUACUUGUCCUGGUACCAGCGGAAACCAGGGCAAUCACCUAAGCCGCUGGUCUACUGGGCAUCCCCUCGGCACACUGGGGUCCCUGAUCGUUUCACAGGCAGUGGAUCUGGGACAGAUUACACUCUCAGCAUCAGCAGUGUGCAGGCUGAAGACCUGGCAGUUUAUUACUGUAUGCAGAGUGUUAACUACACUGGAGGUAAAUCUGAGGCAAAGAUUGUGCCUCUAGAUUUUCAUCCUGUAACUGACACCCCGUGUUUUUGUGCUGCUUUUACUGUAUUUCUCAAAACUCUGACAUGA